rnacentral:rRNA from 1 species
ACGGGUGAGUAACACGUGGGUAAUCUGCCCUAGACACAGGAAUAACCAGUGGAGACGCUGGCUAAUGCCUGAUGAUGUGCCGGCUUUUCGGGGCUGGUACCAAAGGUAGCUUCGGCUUCCGGUCUUGGAUGAGCCCGCGGCCCAUUAGCUUGUUGGCGGGGUAAUGGCCCACCAAGGCUUCGAUGGGUAGCUGGUCUGAGAGGACGAUCAGCCACACUGGGACUGAGACACGGCCCAGACUCCUACGGGAGGCAGCAGGGGGGAAUCUUGCGCAAUGGGCGAAAGCCUGACGCAGCAACGCCGCGUGCGGGAAGAAGGUCUUAGGGUUGUAAACCGCUUUCAGCAGGGACGAAGGCGUCCGGGUUAAUAGCCCGUACGUUGACGGUACCUGCAGAAGAAGGUCCGGCUAACUACGUGCCAGCAGCCGCGGUAAUACGUAGGGACCAAGCGUUGUCCGGAAUCAUUGGGCGUAAAGAGCGUGUAGGCGGCUUGUUAAGUCUUGCGUGAAAUCUCGGGGCUCAACCCCGAGCGGUCGUGAGAAACUGGCAGGCUAGAGUGCGGGAGAGGAGAGUGGAAUUCCUGGUGUA